rnacentral:rRNA from 1 species
GAUGAACGCUAGCGGGAGGCCUAACACAUGCAAGCCGAGCGGUAGAGUUUCUUCGGAAACUUGAGAGCGGCGCACGGGUGCGUAACACGUGUGCAACCUACCUUUAUCUGGGGGAUAGCCUUUCGAAAGGAAGAUUAAUACCCCAUAAUAUAAUGAUUGGCAUCAAUUAUUAUUGAAAACUCCGGUGGAUAGAGAUGGGCACGCGCAAGAUUAGAUAGUUGGUGAGGUAACGGCUCACCAAGUCAAUGAUCUCUAGGGGUCCUGAGAGGGAGAUCCCCCACACUGGUACUGAGACACGGACCAGACGCCUACGGGAGGCAGCAGUGAGGAAUAGUGGACAAGGGGUGAGAGCCUGAUCCAGCCAUCCCGCGUGAAGGAUGACGGUCCUAGGGAUUGUAAACUUCUUUUGUACAGGGAUAAACCUACCCUCGGGAGGGUAGCUGAAGGUACUGUACGAAUAAGCACCGGCUAACUCCGUG